rnacentral:rRNA from 1 species
UACGUAGGCAGCGAGCGUUGUUCGGAGUUACUGGGCGUAAAGGGUGUGUAGGCGGUUUUCUAAGUUUGGUGUGAAAUCUCCCGGCUCAACCGGGAGGGUGCGCCGAAAACUGGGAGACUAGAGUGCGGGAUGGGAGAGUAGAAUUCCUGGUGUAGCGGUGAAUGCGUAGAUAUCAGGAGGAAUACCAGUGGUCGAGGAGGACUCUGG